CCCAUUUGGCAAUCAGAUUCUGGUCCACCGUAAUCAUAAUAGACCAUUUGGGCCUCCUCUGUUCUUAGUAGUGUGUGAGGGUGCUCCCUUGGAUGUACAAAAUUCAUAUACAGCCUAAAAUCCAUAUGAAUGUAUCUGUCUAUCAAUCUUUUUCUGUUUUUCAAGCCUAAAAUUCCCAUUUUGCAAUCAGAUUCUGGUCCACCAUCACCAUACACCAUUUGGGGUUCCUCUGUUCUUAGUAGUUUGUGGGGAGUGCUCCCUUAAAUUCUCUCUCUGAACUUUGUUCAUUUACAGCUUUCUCAGCUCCAUACCUUGGGAAUGACUAUUUUCAGACAAAACCCAUAAUUUUUUUUCCAUCCAAUUCCAUG
rnacentral:lncRNA from 1 species